rnacentral:tRNA from 1 species
GGGGUUGUGGCUCAGUGGUAGAGCUCUUGCCUUACAUGUGUGAGGCACUGGGUUCAAGUCUCAGCACCA